rnacentral:rRNA from 1 species
UACAGAGGGUGCAAGCGUUAAUCGGAAUUACUGGGCGUAAAGCGUGCGUAGACGGUUAUUUAAGUCAGGUGUGAAAGCCCCGGGCUCAACCUGGGAAUUGCAUUUGAGACUGAAUAGCUAGGGUGCGGAAGAGGGAAGCGGAAUUUCCGGUGUAGCAGUGAAAUGCGUAGAUAUCGGAAGGAACACCAGUGGCGAAAGCGGCUUCCUGGUCCAGCACCGACGUUCAGGCACGAAAGCGUGGGGAGCAAACAGG